rnacentral:rRNA from 1 species
UACGAAGGGGGCUAGCGUUGCUCGGAAUCACUGGGCGUAAAGCGCACGUAGGCGGAUUUCUAAGUCAGGGGUGAAAUCCUGGAGCUCAACUCCAGAACUGCCUUUGAUACUGGCGGUCUCGAGUCCGGGAGAGGUGAGUGGAACUGCGAGUGUAGAGGUGAAAUUCGUAGAUAUUCGCAAGAACACCAGUGGCGAAGGCGGCUCACUGGCCCGGUACUGACGCUGAGGUGCGAAAGCGUGGGGAGCAAACAGG